rnacentral:rRNA from 1 species
CAGCGACGCUUAUGCGUUGUUGGGUAGGGGAGCGUUCUGUAAGCCUGUGAAGGUGUGCUGUGAGGCAUGCUGGAGGUAUCAGAAGUGCGAAUGCUGACAUAAGUAACGAUAAAGCGGGUGAAAAGCCCGCUCGCCGGAAGACCAAGGGUUCCUGUCCAACGUUAAUCGGGGCAGGGUGAGUCGACCCCUAAGGCGAGGCCGAAAGGCGUAGUCGAUGGGAAACAGGUUAAUAUUCCUGUACUUGGUGUUACUGCGAAGGGGGGACGGAGAAGGCUAUGUUGGCCGGGCGACGGUUGUCCCGGUUUAAGCGUGUAGGCUGGUUUUCCAGGCAAAUCCGGAAAAUCAAGGCUGAGGCGUGAUGACGAGGCACUACGGUGCUGAAGCAACAAAUGCCCUGCUUCCAGGAAAAGCCUCUAAGCAUCAGGUAACAUCAAAUCGUACCCCAAACCGACACAGGUGGUCAGGUAGAGAAUACCAAGGCGCUUGAGAGAACUCGGGUGAAGGAACUAGGCAAAAUGGUGCCGUAACUUCGGGAGAAGGCACGCUGAUAUGUAGGUGAGGUCCCUCGCGGAUGGAGCUGAAAUCAGUCGAAGAUACCAGCUGGCUGCAACUGUUUAUUAAAAACACAGCACUGUGCAAACACGAAAGUGGACGUAUACGGUGUGACGCCUGCCCGGUGCCGGAAGGUUAAUUGAUGGGGUUAGCGCAAGCGAAGCUCUUGAUCGAAGCCCCGGUAAACGGCGGCCGUAACUAUAACGGUCCUAAGGUAGCGAAAUUCCUUGUCGGGUAAGUUCCGACCUGCACGAAUGGCGUAAUGAUGGCCAGGCUGUCUCCACCCGAGACUCAGUGAAAUUGAACUCGCUGUGAAGAUGCAGUGUACCCGCGGCAAGACGGAAAGACCCCGUGAACCUUUACUAUAGCUUGACACUGAACAUUGAGCCUUGAUGUGUAGGAUAGGUGGGAGGCUUUGAAGUGUGGACGCCAGUCUGCAUGGAGCCGACCUUGAAAUACCACCCUUUAAUGUUUGAUGUUCUAACGUUGACCCGUAAUCCGGGUUGCGGACAGUGUCUGGUGGGUAGUUUGACUGGGGCGGUCUCCUCCUAAAGAGUAACGGAGGAGCACGAAGGUUGGCUAAUCCUGGUCGGACAUCAGGAGGUUAGUGCAAUGGCAUAAGCCAGCUUGACUGCGAGCGUGACGGCGCGAGCAGGUGCGAAAGCAGGUCAUAGUGAUCCGGUGGUUCUGAAUGGAAGGGCCAUCGCUCAACGGAUAAAAGGUACUCCGGGGAUAACAGGCUGAUACCGCCCAAGAGUUCAUAUCGACGGCGGUGUUUGGCACCUCGAUGUCGGCUCAUCACAUCCUGGGGCUGAAGUAGGUCCCAAGGGUAUGGCUGUUCGCCAUUUAAAGUGGUACGCGAGCUGGGUUUAGAACGUCGUGAGACAGUUCGGUCCCUAUCUGCCGUGGGCGCUGGAGAACUGAGGGGGGCUGCUCCUAGUACGAGAGGACCGGAGUGGACGCAUCACUGGUGUUCGGGUUGUCAUGCCAAUGGCACUGCCCGGUAGCUAAAUGCGGAAGAGAUAAGUGCUGAAAGCAUCUAAGCACGAAACUUGCCCCGAGAUGAGUUCUCCCUGACCCUUUAAGGGUCCUGAAGGAACGUUGAAGACGACGACGUUGAUAGGCCGGGUGUGUAAGCGCAGCGAUGCGUUGAGCUAACCGGUACUAAUGAACCGUGAGGCUUAACCUUACAACGCCGAAG